UACGAAGGGGGCUAGCGUUGUUCGGAAUUAUUGGGCGUAAAGGGCUCGUAGGCGGUUUGUCGCGUCGGGAGUGAAAACCUUGGGCUUAACUCAGGGCUUGCUUUCGAUACGGGCAGACUAGAGGUAUGCAGGGGAGAACGGAAUUCCUGGUGUAGCGGUGAAAUGCGCAGAUAUCAGGAGGAACACCGGUGGCGAAGGCGGUUCUCUGGGCCAUUACUGACGCUGAGGAGCGAAAGCGUGGGGAGCGAACAGG
rnacentral:rRNA from 1 species